rnacentral:tRNA from 1 species
GGGCGUGUGGCCUAGCCAGGACAGGGCGGCAGUCUCCUAAGCUGCACAUCAGGGGUUCGAAUCCCCUCACGUCCG